rnacentral:rRNA from 1 species
UGGGGAAUCAUGGUCAAUGGGCGAAAGCCUGAACCUGCGACGCCGCGUGAGUGAUGAAGGUCGUAAGAUCGUAAAACUCUUUUCAGGGAUCUUAAAGAACAACCGUCAACAACGGCUGUGUGUGACUCUCCCUGGAAGAAGCCCCAGCCAACUACGUGCCAGCAGCUGCGGUAAUACGUAGGGGGCGAGCGUUAUUCGGAAUUACUGGGUGUAAAGGGUAUGUAGGCGGCCCUUCAAGUCGCGUGUGAAAGUCCAGUGCUCAACGCUGGGUGUGCGGGCGAUACUGACGGGCUUGAGGGCUGGAGAGGUGAGCGGAAUUCCCGGUGUAGUGGUAAAAUACGUAGAGAUCGGGAGGAACACCAGCGGCGAAGGCGGCUCACUAGACAGUUUCUGACGCUAAGAUACGAAAGCGUGGGGAGCAAACA